ensembl:lncRNA novel transcript
CACUACGUCACUUCCGGGCCGCCGUCCUGCGGGCAAGGGUGGACACCGUGUGGGAUUGAGAGGGGCCUGGUGGGGUGGGUUCCAACCAACCCGCCCCUCGAGUGCCGGAAUCAGCAGGACGAAUCGGGUCCCAAAGAUGUGGGCAAGACUGUUCCGAGGGUCGAAACUCUGGUUCAGGAUAAGAUUAGCAGGUAUUUCACAGAGUCGACUUAAGGAAGCUAGUGCCGGAGAGGGAAGAAGUACGAAGGGCUUGCCAGUGAGCCUUAAUGACUGAUUGAUCAAGUGGGAGGGCACUGCACUGGCGGUCAGAGAACUGUUCUGUCACUGACUUGCUCUUGUGAUAAUGGUAGGCUAGUGCAUUUCUAGCUCAGGCGCAAAUUUCUCCCGACUCUAAAGUCAUACACUUGCCUUAGAUGAUGCCCAGUGGUCCUCUAAUUAAUGAUUUUUUUUAAGCUUAAAGACCUUCAUACUAUACGUUGGCAAGGGUAAAGUGUAGAGCCUUUGUUUCACAAGAAGCCAGAUAGUAAUUUCUUCUCCAGGAAAUCAUUCCGUAAGUCAGAAUUUCUCCUCUGUACCCACCCAUAAAUGAUAAUACAGGCCGUAUUUUACCUGGUGCUGUAUUUGUGUACCUGUCCGCUGUCAAAAUCCAAGCCCUUGAAGGCAGGCUUCCUUCAGAUCUUCAUUGCCUUGCACAAUGCAAGGGUAGGUACUUCCAUCUUAAUUGAAUUUUUACUUCCCAUAAAAAUUCUUCAUGGUGACUUACAUUAGUCAUCAUUACACAUCACCGUCAGUUUUGUAAGCACAGUGUCAUUCAAGGUAUUGUAAAAUUUUGAGUUUGAUGAUGUGUGACAGUUUCAAUUAUUUUAGUACAGCCCUAAUGAGAACAAGGCCGUAGUAUUGAUUCCCUUCAAAGUUGGCGUCUAAGUGAAGGUCACAUUCACAAGGAGGGCCUAACUGAAAGCAUGUGGAAGCAUCAUUAUAAACUGUUGCUAACACGCACAAAUAAAGGCUAUUAAUAGGUA